UACCUUAUAAUGACUCCGGUCCAAAGAUUUAUCGCCGAAAGAUUAGCCCGCGCUAGAUUAGUUUGUUGGUGAGGUAAAAGCUCACCAAGACUACGAUCUAUAGCUGGUCUUAGAGGAUGAUCAGCCACACUGGUACUGAGACACGGACCAGACUCCUACGGGAGGCAGCAGUGAGGAAUAUUGCGCAAUGGGGGAAACCCUGACGCAGCCAUGCCGCGUGAAUGAAGAAGGCCCUAGGGUUGUAAAAUUCUUUCAGAUGCGAAGAUAAUGACGGUAACAUCAGAAGAAGCUCCGGCUAAAUUCGUGCCAGCAGCCGCGGUAAUACGAAUGGAGCGAGCGUUGUUCGGAAUCAUUGGGCGUAAAGCGUAUGUAGGCGGACUUGAAAGUCAGAAGUGAAAUCCCAGGGCUCAACCCUGGAAUUGCUUUUGAAACUCCAAGUCUUGAAUCCCGGAGGGGUAGAUGGAAUUCCGAGUGUAGAGGUGAAAUUCGCAGAUAUUCGGAGGAACACCAGAGGCGUAGGCGAUCUACUGGACGGGAAUUGACGCUGAGAUACGAAAGCGUGGGGAGCAAACAGGAUUAGAUACCCUGGUAGUCCACGCCGUAAACGAUGUGUGCUAGUUGUCGGGCUCUAAGAGUUCGGUGACGCCGCUAACGCAUUAAGCACACCGCCUGGGGAGUACGGCCGCAAGGUUAAAACUCAAAGGAAUUGACGGGGAC
rnacentral:rRNA from 1 species